rnacentral:rRNA from 1 species
AACGAACGCUGGCGGCAUGCCUAACACAUGCAAGUCGAACGAGACCUUCGGGUCUAGUGGCGCACGGGUGCGUAACGCGUGGGAACCUGCCCUUAGGUUCGGAAUAACUCCCCGAAAGGGGUGCUAAUACCGGAUAAUGUCUUCGGGCCAAAGAUUUAUCGCAUUUGGGUGGGCCCGGGUUGGAUUAGCUAGUUGGUAGGGUAAAAGCCUACCAAGGCGACGAUCCUUAGCUGGUCUGAGGGGAUGAUCCGCCACACUGGGACUGAGACACGGCCCAGAAUCCUACGGGAGGCAGCAGUGGGGAAUAUAGGAAAAGGGGCGAAAGCCUGAUCCAGCAAUGCCGCGUGAGUGAUGAAGGCCUUAGGGUUGUAAAGCUCUUUUACCCGGGGUGAUAAUGACAGUACCGGGAGAAUAAGCACCGGCUAACUCCGUG